AACGCACAUUGCGCCCCUUGGUAUUCCGAGGGGCAUGCCUGUCCGAGCGUCAUUUCAACCCUCAAGCAUAGCUUGGUCUUGGGCUUCGCUGCUAACCCAGCGGGUCUUAAAAUCAGUGGCGGUGCCGUCGGGCCCUGAGCGUAGUACAUCUCCUCGCUAUAGGGCCCCGGCGGAUGCUGGCCGUCAACCCCCAAUUUUCUAUGGUUGACCUCGGAUCAGGUAGGGAUACCCGCUGAACUUAA
rnacentral:misc_RNA from 1 species